UGCCAGUCUCUGAAAGCAGAGCCUGGUUAAAUUCUCUGUCCGUUUUACUCUUGCAAAGUUAUGUUUUGCUCUCCUCUCCCGUAGAAACCUUGUUCUACACUUCACAAUCUAGUUAGGAGGUCAGCCAACAUGUGCUUUCUAAUCCCACAUCAAAGAAGAAACAUAGCCUUCGAUUCCUUUCCUGCCUGUGGUGAAAUGUGUGACCUCCCCUGUGCAGCAUGUGGCCAGGUUGGGACUGAAACCCUGAAGCAUUACAGGAGCACUCUCAACCACUGACAAGAAACUGUCUGAAGGGCUACUUCCUACUUGAACAGUAUGGUCUGAAGAAGUCCGAAUCAGGGCUCCGAAACGUUCCAGGUAAUUAACUCUGUGACACACCUACCGGCAUACAGGUUUGGGAGUAGGUCCGACUCCUGAAGGAUUACAGUCCUGGUAAAUGAAAUGGCAGAGCAGUGACUCAGCAGCUGGUUUGCAC